rnacentral:rRNA from 1 species
UACGUAGGGGGCGAGCGUUGUCCGGAUUUAUUGGGCGUAAAGAGCGUGUAGGCGGUUCGGUAAGUCCGCUGUGAAAGUCGGGGGCUCAACCCUCGAAUGCCGGUGGAUACUGUCGGGCUAGAGUGCGGAAGAGGCGAGUGGAAUUCCUGGUGUAGCAGUGAAAUGCGUAGAUAUCGGGAGGAACAUCUGUGGCGAAGGCGACACCCUGGACCAGCACUGACACUGAGGCACGAAAGCGUGGGGAGCAAACAGG